rnacentral:lncRNA from 1 species
GGCAACCGUAUGCAGCCCUGUCAUCAGCUGCCUAUCUUCCUUUGGCCCCACGACAACAUUCAUGGCAUGAGAAAACAGAAAGGCACGCCCGUUUCUCCCCUGUGCCGAUCAAGGCAAUGUAGAAUAAAGAUCACAAAAUCAAUUCACCAAAUUGUCGCCUCCUUCGAUCAUAGCAAGAUGUUAAUUUUAACAACAUACUAUCAUGAAUCUCCUAAAUCAGCAAAGAAUGUUCUAAAAUGAACACCAAGUUUUCACUGGAAGGACAAAUUCCAUCGAUAUAAACUAUUGCAUAAGACAAAAAGAACUUCUGACAAUCAUCAACGUCAACUCAAAACACAACAGAUAGGCUACAAAAAUGCAUGCAGGAAUACCUGAAGAAAUCGAGGAAUAUAUGAAGAAAUAGGCUACAAGAGCUUCACCUGAAAUGCUUUGGAUAUGAUAUCAUCGUGAAGGCAGACGUGGUUUCGGCAAUUGCUGCAGCUGUAAACACGAGGCCCGAUCAAUUCCGCCAUGGAUGGCGCCCCGGCUGCUCUUAAU